GACGAACGCUGGCGGCGUGCUUAACACAUGCAAGUCGAACGGAAAGGCCCUGCUUUUGUGGGGUGCUCGAGUGGCGAACGGGUGAGUAACACGUGAGUAACCUGCCCUUGACUUUGGGAUAACUUCAGGAAACUGGGGCUAAUACCGGAUAGGAGCUCCUGCUGCAUGGUGGGGGUUGGAAAGUUUCGGCGGUUGGGGAUGGACUCGCGGCUUAUCAGCUUGUUGGUGGGGUAGUGGCUUACCAAGGCGUUGACGGGUAGCCGGCCUGAGAGGGUGACCGGCCAAAUUGGGACUGAGAUACGGCCCAGACUCCUACGGGAGGCAGCAGGGGGGAAUAUUGCACAAUGGGCGGAAGCCUGAUGCAGCGACGCCGCGUGCGGGAUGACGGCCUUCGGGUUGUAAACCGCUUUCGGCUGGGACGAAGCGGUAGUGACGGUAAUGGGUGAAGAAGCACCGGCUAACUACGUG
rnacentral:rRNA from 1 species